rnacentral:lncRNA from 1 species
CCCCUGUUAGAUUCCACCCUGAUGAGCCCUAUAACAGCAUCCCCGAAUCCUCCAACAAUAAAGACACUUACUACUACAACAAGAAUGCCUACGAGUCCACUAAGCAGCAAAACUUGGGCGAGGCCAUUUUCACCGAGAAAGGAUGGAGCACCAAGGAAAACCAGAACAACAACUACUACAACGGCAACAAUGGUUACAACAAUGGCGAGAAGCAAGGCAUGAGCGAUACUAGGUACUUGGAGAAUGGAAAGUACUACUAUGACGUCAAGAGUGAGAACAACUAUUAUCCAAACCGGUUCGACAACUCAAGAGGAGUUGCUUCGAGGAACCAGUUCAAUGAGAAUCGUUACAACAACAUGGGAAGGUACCACCAGAACCAAGAGGAGUUCGAGGAAAGCGAGGAAGAGUUCGAACCCUGAUCACCUGUCGUACAGUAUUUCUACAUUUGAUGUGUGAUUUGUGAAGAACAUCAAACAAAACAAGCACUGGCUUUAAUAUGAUGAUAAGUAUUAUGGUAAUUAAUUAAUUGGCAAAAACAACAAUGAAGCUAAAAUUUUAUUUAUUGAGC